ACUAUAUCACGUUGAAACACUGAUUCUCAUACCAUCACUGAAGUUAAGCAACAUCGAACCUGGUCAGUAGCUAGAAGGGUGACCACUUGGGAAUACCAGGUGCUGUAA